AGAACAUUUUUCUUUAUAUUUUUAAAAUGAUAGCGGCACAAACGAAAAUUUUUGCUGCACAAACCAGCACAAACGUAGCAGAGUUAAUUGACACCCAUUUCGUCUGAUUUGAGGAAGGUGGGGGGGCUGGUUGACCUUUGAUGACCUCUA